rnacentral:lncRNA from 1 species
AGUAGAGGGGCAUUAUGUUUUCUGGUCUGUGCGUCCGUUCGUCCGUUCGUUCGUCUGUUCGUUCGUCCGUCUGUCCCGCUUCAGGUUAAAGUUUUUGGUCAAGGUAGUUUUUGAUGAAGCUGAAGUCCAAUCAACUUGAAACUUAGUACAUAUGUUCCUUAUGGUAUGAUCUUUCUAAUUUUAAAGACAAAUUAAACUUUUGACCCCAAUUUCACGGUCCACUGAACAUAGAAAAUGAAAGUGCGAGUUUCAGGUUAAAGUUUUUGGUCAAGGUAGUUUUUGAUGAAGUUGAAGUCCAAUCAACUUGAAACUUCGUACAAAUGUUCCCUAUGAUAUGAUCUUUCUAAUUUUAAUGCCUAAUUAUAUUUUUUACCCAUUUUCACGGUCCAUUGAACAUGGAAAAUGAUAGUGCGAGUGGGGCAUCCGUGUACUUUGGACACAUUCUUGUUUUACAUAAAUUU